rnacentral:rRNA from 1 species
GAUGAACGCUGGCGGCGUGCUUAACACAUGCAAGUCGAACGAGAAGUGAAGACGGAAACCUUCGGGCGGAAGGCUUUAUUUCGAGUGGCGGACGGGUGAGUAACGCGUGGGUAACCUGCCUCAUACAGGGGGUUAACAGUCGGACACGUCUGUUAAUACCGCAUAAGCCCACAGCACCGCAUGGUCGGGGGGUAAAAACUCCGGUGGUAUGAGAUGGACCCGCGUUCGAUUAGCCAGUUGGCGGGGUAACGGCCCACCAAAGCGACGAUCGAUAGCCGAUCUGAGAGGAUGACCGGCCACAUUGGGACUGAGACACGGCCCAAACUCCUACGGGAGGCAGCAGUGGGGAAUAUUGCACAAUGGGGGAAAGCCUGAUGCAGCGACGCCGCGUGAGUGAAGAAGUAUAUCGGUAUGUAAAGCUCUAUCAGCAGGGAAGAAAAUGACGGUACCUGAGUAAGAAGCCCCGGCUAACUACGUG